AUUGAACGCUGGCGGCAUGCCUUACACAUGCAAGUCGAACGGUAACAGGUUAAGCUGACGAGUGGCGAACGGGUGAGUAAUGUAUCGGAACGUGCCCAGUCGUGGGGGAUAACUACUCGAAAGAGUGGCUAAUACCGCAUACGACCUGAGGGUGAAAGCGGGGGACCGUAAGGCCUCGCCCGAUUGGAGCGGCCGAUAUCAGAUUAGCUAGUUGGUGGGGUAAAAGCCGACCAAGGCGACGAUCUGUAGCUGGUCUGAGAGGACGACCAGCCACACCGGGACUGAGACACGGCCCAGACUCCUACGGGAGGCAGCAGUGGGGAAUUUUGGACGAUGGACGCAAGUCUGAUCCAGCCAUGCCGCGUGCGGGAAGAAGGCCUUCGGGUUGUAAACCGCUUUUGUCAGGGAAGAAACGAGUUUCUCUAAUACAGAGACUUAAUGACGGUACCUGAAGAAUAAGCACCGGCUAACUACGUGCCAGCCGCCGCAGUAAAAC
rnacentral:rRNA from 1 species